GAUGAACGCUGGCGGCGUGCCUAAUACAUGCAAGUCGAGCGAACGGACGAGAAGCUUGCUUCUCUGAUGUUAGCGGCGGACGGGUGAGUAACACGUGGAUAACCUACCUAUAAGACUGGGAUAACUUCGGGAAACCGGAGCUAAUAACGGAUAAUAUUUUGAACCGCAUGGUUCAAAAGUGAAAGACGGUUUUGCUGUCGCUUAUAGAUGGAUCCGCGCUGCAUUAGCUAGUUGGUAAGGUAACGGCUUACCAAGGCAACGAUGCAUAGCCGACCUGAGAGGAGGAUCGGCCACAACGGAACGGAGGAGCGGUCCAGACGACUACGGGAGGCAGCAGUAGGGAAGCUUCCGCAAUGGGCGGAAGCCUGACGGAGCAACGCCGCGUGAGUGAUGAAGGUCUUCGGAUCGUAAAGCUCUGUUAUUAGGGAAGAACAUAUGUGUAAGUAACUGUGCACAUCUUGACGGUACCUAAACAGAAAGCCACGGCUAACUACGUG
rnacentral:rRNA from 1 species